rnacentral:rRNA from 1 species
UACGUAGGGUGCGAGCGUUAAUCGGAAUUACUGGGCGUAAAGCGUGCGUAGGCGGUUCGUUAAGUGCGUCGUGAAAGCCCCGGGCUCAACCUGGGAAUGGCGAUGGAAACUGGCGGGCUGGAGUAUGGCAGAGGGGGGUGGAAUUCCGCGUGUAGCAGUGAAAUGCGUAGAUAUCUGGAGGAACACCGGUGGCGAAGGCGGCAUCCUGGACCAAUUCUGACGCUGAGUGAGCGAAAGCCAGGGGAGCAAACGGG